rnacentral:rRNA from 1 species
AUUGAACGCUGGCGGAAUGCUUUACACAUGCAAGUCGAACGGUAGAGGGGGCAACCCCUUGAGAGUGGCGAACGGGUGAGUAAUAUAUCGGAACGUGCCCAGUCGUGGGGAUAACGUAGCGAAAGCUACGCUAAUACCGCAUACGAUCUAUGGAUGAAAGCGGGGGAUCGCAAGACCUCGCGCGAUUGGAGCGGCCGAUAUCAGAUUAGGUAGUUGGUGAGGUAAAGGCUCACCAAGCCGACGAUCUGUAGCUGGUCUGAGAGGACGACCAGCCACACUGGGACUGAGACACGGCCCAGACUCCUACGGGAGGCAGCAGUGGGGAAUUUUGGACAAUGGACGCAAGUCUGAUCCAGCCAUGCCGCGUGCAGGAAGACGGUCCUAUGGAUUGUAAACUGCUUUUAUUACAGGAAGAAACCCUCCCACGUGUGGGAGCUU